AAAACAUUUGAAUCUCAAGGUGCUCGAGCAAUCGAGCUAAGAGGGAAAGAGGUGAGAUUCCUCUACAGCCCCCGCUACUGUAAACAGGGAUGAAACCCCAAUGAGCCACCAUUAAUCCAUGGGAAGGCAGGGGGAGUAAGGAGAACUGUAAGUCAGGAGACCUGCCUUGAAGAUGAUAUACAG
rnacentral:ncRNA from 2 species